rfam:Camponotus floridanus CamFlo_1.0_4.contig5979, whole genome shotgun sequence.
GUCGGGAUAGCUCAGUGGUCCAGAGCAAUUGUCCGGAAAACGAAAGACUUGGGUUCGAUUUUCGAUCCAGCCA